rnacentral:rRNA from 1 species
CCCUUUGAUCCUCUGGGCGGCACGCGCGCUACACUGGUUUAUAUAACGUGUAAUUUGGACGAUAGUCUGUAUAAAUCACUAAUAUAAAACCGUGAAUGGGAUAGUUUAUUGCAACUUACAAACUUUAACUAGGAAUCCCUUGUAGAAGUAGUGAAUUAUACUGCUUCGAAUACGUCCCUGCCGAUUGUACACACCGCCCGUCGUUUCUUCCGACUGGUACUCAUUGUGAAUUGCGAGGAGAUUCUGUCAAAUCGUUGUAAAUGCUGGGUAUUGGAGGAAGAAAAAGUCGUAACA